AGCCACCGGAAACGCCCCUGGGUCUGGCAGGCUGUUUCACGGAGCUGUGGCAAAGAACAUGGCCAGGAUGUUGAUGUCGCAGAACUGCGAGCGGCGCCACUGCCGGCGCGUCUUGAUGCCCACCUUGUGCAGCUUGUCGAAGACGAAGUUGCUCUUCCGGAAGAUGAAGAGGUGCGUGAGGUUGACCAGGAUGACGAGGUUCAUGGCGCAGAGGAGCACGACGUCCACGCCGGCCACGAUGCGCUGCAGCUGCACCGACGGCAGCUUGCAGCUGACGCGCACGGCCGGGCCGCCCCCCGGGGCGGCGCCCAGCGCGCAGGUGAACUCGUUCUGCUUCUGCGUGGCGUAGUAGGUGCACAGGUAGGAGAUGGGCGCCACGCUGAGCAGCAGGAUGAGCAGGUGCCGCGCCAGGUAGAGCUUGGCCAGGAAGUUGCUGCGGCCGCGGCGCUCCAGGUACUUCUCGAACAGGUUCUGCUCGGGGCUCUUCUCCUUCUCCGCGUUCUCGAUGAUCUCGCGCCGCUCGCGCUCCGUGAUGCCCGGGCCCUUGGACUGGAUCUGCUUCUCGAUCUUGGGCGCGCGGCCCUCGGCCGCCCGGUGGUAGCAGUUGUCGAUCUCCUGCAGCAGGAAGUUGAGCUCGGAGGUGAGGCGUGUGGACGCCAGGAACUCCCAGCCCAGCGCGGGCACAUACAUGAUCGCCGCGAAGGCCAGCAGCGAGUAGGGCAGCAGCUUGUGCUCGAACAGCGACGGCCACAGGCUGGCGUCCACGCCGGGCAGCGCGUCCCGCAGCUCCGUCCAGCAGUAGCCGCGGGCAUACAGCGCCUGGUCGCGGGUGAAGUUGUGCGGCGUGUAGCAGUAAAUGGGCUCCUCUGGGGGCAGAGAGGAGAAGGCGCUGGGGCAUCGCACCCCUCCCGGCCUGCCGCGCAGGAGCCCCCUUCCCCGUCUCUGCUGUGUCCCGUGGGGUCUCCUCCUACACCACCUCCCGCCCCCCCCCACUGCAGUCACCUUCCCCUUGGGGGUGGAGGGUACAGCCCUGCUCACCGAGAUCUGCACUUGGAACCUCAGGCCUCCCUCCAGGUGCCACCACCCCAGCACACAGGGCAGAGUCCAGAGCCAGGGGCGCAGGGCACACAGCCCGGGGCCUGGCACCACCACCCAUCCUGAGAAGGACAGGUGUCCUGGGCGAGUCCUCCCUGGCCAGAGGUUACAGGGGCACGACUGAAGAAAAGCGGAAGCGGUGCUGCCUGCCUGUGAGAGGUGAGGGGCGUCCUCCCAAGACCCACUGUCCCGGGGCAGGGCAGGCCUGAGGUCCCUGGACACUGAGUGGGCAGGGGAGCCACUCCAGAGAUCAGACAGGAAGGAGUCGUCACCCAGACCCCAGGGACCACCCAACACGCGAGGGUGACAGCUCCGCCCCGAACGCAGGAAGCCCCAAAUGCAGGAAGAACUGUUCCCCAGGUGAGGACAGGCGCAGACCACAGCCCAGGUCUCCCAGAGGGCAGGUCUUGGCCGCCUCAGCGCCGUCCUCAGGGCAGGGUGGUCUGAGCCCUGAAGGCCGGGUCACUGCACUAUCAGGCUGGGCCCAGGCCAGGGUGUGCCCUCUUGCAGGUGCCAGCGCCCGGGGCCCCUUGCCUAGAGGGCAGCAUCCCGCUGGCAGGAGGUGCGCGCCCCAACCUGGACGCAGCAGGCACACCCCUCCCCUCAGCUGAAGAGCCCCGGGGCGGGCCGUUCAGUCCCCCUCUGCCCCAGCUUAAGCCUCUCAGCCCAGGAGACGCAGACCAGAAGCAGUGGGGACCCGCGCGCUCGUCUGUCUGUGCAGGCCCCCCACCCCAAGGCCUGCUGCACGAAGCUGGCCCUUGACUGGGGAGGCAGCUGGUCACCGCCACUGACCCCCAGGGGCCCAGGGGCCGGCCCCUCCCCCGGCACCCACCCU
ensembl:lincRNA